GGGAGGCAGCAGUGGGGAAUAUUGCGCAAUGGACGACAGUCUGACGCAGCGACGCCGCGUGAAGGAAGAAGCCCCUCGGGGUGUAAACUUCUUUUGUAAGGGACGAUUGUGACGGUACCUUACGAAUAAGAGCCUGCUAACUACGUGCCAGCAGCAGCGGUAAUACGUAGGGCUCGAGCGUUGUCCGGAUUUAUUGGGCGUAAAGAGCAUGUUGGUGGUUUCCUAAGUUGAAUUUCAAAGCCCGGGGCUUAGCUCCGGUUCUGGAUUCGAUACUGGGAAACUUGAGGAUAGUAGGGGCAAGCGGAAUUUCCGGUGUAGCAGUGAAAUGCGUUGAUAUCGGAAAGAACACCAAUGGCGAAGGCAGCUUGCUAGGCUAUUUCUGACACUGAGAUGCGAAAGCGUGGGGAGCGAACGGGAUUAGAUACCCUUGUA
rnacentral:rRNA from 1 species